rnacentral:rRNA from 1 species
GCUGGCGGCGUGCCUCAGACAUGCAAGUCGAACGCGAAAGCUCCCUUCGGGGAGCAAGUAGAGUGGCGCACGGGUGAGUAACACGUAGGUAAUCUACCUUUGGAUUGGGAAUAACAACCGGAAACGGUUGCUAAUACCGAAUAAUGCAGCGGCACCUAAUGGUGACAGUUGUUAAAGCGGGGGAUCGCAAGACCUCGCGUCUGAAGAGGAGCCUGCGGCGGAUUAGCUAGUUGGUAAGGUAACGGCUUACCAAGGCGAUGAUCCGUAGCCGGCCUGAGAGGGCGGUCGGCCACACUGACACUGACAUACGGGUCAGACUCCUACGGGAGGCAGCAGUCGGGAAUUUUGGGCAAUGGGCGAAAGCCUGACCCAGCAACGCCGCGUGAAGGAUGAAAUCCUUCGGGAUGUAAACUUCGCAAGAACAGGAAGAAUAAGUAAGAGUUAAUAUCUCUUACGAUGACGGUACUGUUUGUAAGCUCCGGCUAACUCCGUGCCAGCAGCCGCGGUAAUACGGGGGGAGCAAGCGUUGUUCGGAUUUACUGGGCGUAAAGGGGGGGGGUAGGCGGCCACCGCAAGUCAGUUGUGAAAUCUCCGGGCUUAACCCGGAAAGGUCA